CUACGGGGGGCAGCAGUGGGGAAUAUUGCACAAUGGGCGCAAGCCUGAUGCAGCCAUGCCGCGUGUAUGAAGAAGGCCUUCGGGUUGUAAAGUACUUUCAGCGGGGAGGAAGGGAGUAAAGUUAAUACCUUUGCUCAUUGACGUUACCCGCAGAAGAAGCACCGGCUAACUCCGUGCCAGCAGCCGCGGUAAUACGGAGGGUGCAAGCGUUAAUCGGAAUUACUGGGCGUAAAGCGCACGCAGGCGGUUUGUUAAGUCAGAUGUGAAAUCCCCGGGCUCAACCUGGGAACUGCAUCUGAUACUGGGAAGCUUGAGUCUCGUAGAGGGGGGUAGAAUUCCAGGUGUAGCGGUGAAAUGCGUAGAGACCUGGAGGAAUACCGGUGGCGAAGGCGGCCCCCUGGACGAAGACUGACGCUCAGGUGCGAAAGCGUGGGGAGCAAACAGGAUUAGAUACCCGAGUAGUC
rnacentral:rRNA from 1 species